UACGGAGGGCGCGAGCGUUGUCCGGAAUCACUGGGCGUAAAGGGCGCGUAGGCGGCGGGCGAAGCGUGCGGUGAAAGCCCGGGGCUCAACCCCGGGUCGGCCGUGCGAACCGGCCCGCUCGAGCACACUAGGGGCGGGUGGAAUUCCGGGAGUAGCGGUGGAAUGCGUAGAGAUCCGGAAGAACACCGGUGGCGAAGGCGGCCCGCUGGGGUGUGGCUGACGCUGAGGCGCGACAGCGUGGGGAGCAAACAGG
rnacentral:rRNA from 1 species